rnacentral:rRNA from 1 species
UACGAAGGGGGGCUAGCGUUAUCCGGAAUUACUGGGCGUAAAGGGCGCGUAGGCGGCCUUCUAAGUCGAACGUGAAAUCCCCGGGCUCAACCCGGGAACUGCGUCCGAUACUGGAUGGCUUGAGUUCGGGAGAGGGAUGCGGAAUUCCAGGUGUAGCGGUGAAAUGCGUAGAUAUCUGGAGGAACACCGGUGGCGAAGGCGGCAUCCUGGACCGAUACUGACGCUGAGGAGCGAAAGCCAGGGAGCAAAGCGGG